rnacentral:rRNA from 1 species
AUUGAACGCUGGCGGCAGGCUUAACACAUGCAAGUCGAGCGGGGGAGGUUGCUUCGGUAACUGACCUAGCGGCGGACGGGUGAGUAAUGCUUAGGAAUCUGCCUAUUAGUGGGGGACAACAUUCCGAAAGGGAUGCUAAUACCGCAUACGCCCUACGGGGGAAAGCAGGGGAUCUUCGGACCUUGCGCUAAUAGAUGAGCCUAAGUCGGAUUAGCUAGUUGGUGGGGUAAAGGCCUACCAAGGCGACGAUCUGUAGCGGGUCUGAGAGGAUGAUCCGCCACACUGGGACUGAGACACGGCCCAGACUCCUACGGGAGGCAGCAGUGGGGAAUAUUGGACAAUGGGCGGAAGCCUGAUCCAGCCAUGCCGCGUGUGUGAAGAAGGCCUUUUGGUUGUAAAGCAUUUUAGUUGGGGAAGAAAAGUAAUAAGUAAAUAAUUUAUUGCUCUGACGGUACCCAAAGAAUAAGCACCGGCUAACUCUGUGCCAGCAGCCGCCGUAACAC